GGAACUCACCCUAAACAUAGAAAAUAUAAUUUUUAUGGUCUGGGGCCUUGGAAUUAGUAUAAAGGAGACUUAGGACUGGGCUUAAGCAUCCACCACUCUCUGUGACUGGGGAUGCAGUGUGACCUCCCGCCUCCUCUUCUUGCAGUCAUGCCUUUCCUUUCAAGGAGACAGUGACCCCUAGAACCGAGAGCCAGAACAAACCUUUCUUUUAAAGUUACUUUUGUUGGGUGUUUUGUUGUAGCAACAAGACAAGCAACCAAUGCACCCUUAGCCCCAGCAUGUGAAACUGGUCGCUGUGACACCCUCGUCAGGAAUGAAGGCUGGCGUUGUGCUUUAAAGUAAACUUCUAUUGAUUCUAUUUUCAUAAAACCCAUAGCUGAGUGGUGGUGGUGCAUGCCUUUGAUUCCAGCAUUCAGGAAUCAGGCAGAUCUAUGAGUCUGGGGCCAACCUGGUCUACAGAGUGAGCUCCAGGACAGCCAGGAGUAUACAGUGAAACCCUGUCUUAGAAAAGCAAAAACAAACCAGUAAAACCCCUACUAUUGGGUGCUUUGUGAAAGCAACAAAAAGCACAUGGAGACCCUGCCCAUCAUUCCUUUCACAACGCCAACAUUUUGUGUAAGAGUUUGUAAUCAAGGCAGGACUCUACCUAGAUGAGUGGCCUAUGGGUGGAUAGGAGCUGACCACAACUCUACUUUAAGAGUCAUAUUAGGGAAGUUCCCAGACAGAAGAGAGUCACGGAUGCUGAGUAGCCAGCCAAAAAAAGUCUUCUAUAAAGCUCAUAGGUAUGUUGUGCUUAAAUGGUCACUCUUAAGCUUUACAACAAGAGAGACUUGCUCUUUGUAUUAACGUGUACAUGUGUGUGUUUAUCUUUACAUAAAACUUUUAUUGUCACUCUUAACAAAAAUGAGUGAAAAUACCAUACAUUUAUUAUCCUUUCAAGUUUAAGACUUCCUGAUUAUGUCAUACUAUAUUUUUAAAUUCAAUUGAGUUCAAUUCACGUUUUCAUGCUGAGCACAGGAUCACUCCCUAGGAGAUAUUUUGUUCCAAAUGAUGUGCGGGGGACUCACUCUUGGCAAAGGAUGGGACCCUAGAUGCCUAGAUUUUUAGCCAUCUAUGAGACAAUCUUACAAAUGAUUUAUUCCACAGAACUUUCUUCAUUUCUGGGAGGGUGAAAUGGCUCAGUGGAUCAGGCACUCACCGCACAAGUCUGACAACCUGCGCUUAACCCCUGGACCCCACACAAAGGUGGAAGGAAGGU
rnacentral:lncRNA from 1 species